UACGUAGGGGGCAAGCGUUGUCCGGAUUUAUUGGGCGUAAAGAGCGUGUAGGCGGCCAGUCAGGUCCGUUGUGAAAACUCGAGGCUCAACCUCGAGACGCCGAUGGAAACCGACUGGCUAGAGUCCGGAAGAGGAGAGUGGAAUUCCCGGUGUAGCGGUGAAAUGCGCAGAUAUCGGGAAGAACACCCGUGGCUAAGGCGGCUCUCUAGUACGGUACUGACGCUGAGAGCGAAAGCGUGGGGAGCGAACAGG
rnacentral:rRNA from 1 species